CCUACGGGGGGCUGCAGUGGGGAAUAUUGGACAAUGGGGGGAACCCUGAUCCAGCCAUGCCGCGUGUGUGAAGAAGGCCCUCGGGUUGUAAAGCACUUUCAGUGAGGAAGAACGCCUGGUGGUUAAUACCCAUCAGGAAAGACAUCACUCACAGAAGAAGCACCGGCUAACUCCGUGCCAGCAGCCGCGGUAAUACGGAGGGUGCGAGCGUUAAUCGGAAUUACUGGGCGUAAAGCGCGCGUAGGUGGCUUGAUAAGCCGGUUGUGAAAGCCCCGGGCUCAACCUGGGAACGGCAUCCGGAACUGUCAAGCUAGAGUGCAGGAGAGGAAGGUAGAAUUCCCGGUGUAGCGGUGAAAUGCGUAGAGAUCGGGAGGAAUACCAGUGGCGAAGGCGGCCUUCUGGACUGACACUGGCACUGAGGUGCGAAAGCGUGGGUAGCAAACAGGAUUAGAUACCCUAGUAGUC
rnacentral:rRNA from 1 species